rnacentral:lncRNA from 1 species
GCUGAUCCUCCUGCAUGGAGCAGAGAGGCAUUCUGCUGUGUGCUUUGGCAAGCAUCCCCCUGAUAAAACCCAGCAUUUGAUUGCAAGUUUGGAUCACUGAGGGGAGGCUGUGCUGAAUUCAUUUCAGUCUGUGGAGGAAAAUUCAGGAAGCUGAGGGCACCUUUGUAAGCAGCACCAAUUCCUUCAUCCCAGCUGCAGGAAGAGGUUUGAUGGUCAGCUGGUGCUGAACUUGGUGACAAUGAUUUAAUAUUUUGGGGCCUGGAAGGCUCAGCUGGAAUCACACAGUGCUUGCUGCACAAGAGCCUGCUGGGGAACAGGCCUUCACCUUAAAGUUUGCAAUCCUGGGCCCCAGUCCUGCAGGAAAUCAGUGCCUUGCUUAUUUCCACAAUUAAACAUGGAUAAAUAUCUGCAGGAUUGAGAUGCAAAUGUACAGAACAGGCAGGAGAAUGACGGAGGGGGAGAGUUACCCUGAUUUCAGAGCUGCCCUGCUCUGCUGGCUCUGAGCUUAUCUGUGCUCUGGGCCAGCAUAAAUCACUCCUGAUCUGGCUCAGAUGUGUCCUGCUGGGCAAGCAGCAGAGCACAGAUCCAAGAUUGAUGAUCAGCAAGGCAGAGACCUGGGCCCCUCUGCCAGGAGAAGAUGAAGCAUCCUCUGGGGAGCUCUGAGAGUCUGACAACCCUGGGAGCCUCUGCAGCAAGCCUGGAGCAGACAGCUGGGUUUGGAUAGCUGGAGCUUGGGCAGAUGAAUUUCCCUCCUGAGAAGAGUGAGAAGUUCCACCUGAUAAUUCACCUCUGGAACGGCAGGGUGACACCAAACCCUUUCCUGCUGAGCAUUCAUAGAAUCAUGGAAUAUCCUGAGCUGGAAGGGACCCACAGGGAUCACCCAGUCCAACCCCAAAAUCCCACCCUGGGCAUCCCUGGAGUGGUUCCAAACCCUCCUGGAGCUCUGCCAGCCUCAGGGCUGUGCCUAUUCCCUCUUUAGGAUCCUUAAACCAUUUUUGCAGCUGGCAGGAGAAAUAAACCCUCUAAGAAAGGUAAAAUUUGGUGCUUU